UAUUUAACCUGUAGCGCUUUCUCAAGGUGGUGCGGUGUUGCAGAGAGUUGAAGGAUUGGAUCACUGAGCAUCCAACAGUAGAGUGAGCAUCUCCAUAGACACAAUAUACUAGGCUCUUUUUUUUUUUCCCUCCCUCUCUGCAUGUACUUCGAAGAGGAGAUUUUUAAGGUGGAACGAGUGGAUACACGAGGUUUCUGAGU
rnacentral:lncRNA from 1 species